GGUAGAAGUUGGGGACAAGCUCCUGCUUGCAAAGGAGUGAGCUGUGGCAGUCUGGUGAAAAAGCAGAACAAGGAGAUGACAUUUUCAAGAGCUGAGAUAAAGUGUCUGCCCAGUGUACUCUGUUAUUUGCUUGACCAACCUUGAAGGCAUUUGAGCUUCUGGCCCUACCUAUAGGGUCCAGGGAAGGGAAAUAUGAGGAAACUGAGGCUCAGAGCACUGAAGAUUGUCUUGCCUACACCAGCUCUGAAAAGGGCAGGGGCAGGAGCAGCAGAGGGGCUGGGUGCUCUGCGCAUCCACAUGGCAGUCACUGGCCUCAAGUCAGUGUGAACACAGGGAGGCGUUCUUCCAACUGUUCACGUUCCUUUGGAGCGAAAGAGACACAGAGUGGACUAUGUGGGUUCUGGAAGCCUCCAGUCACAAAUCAAGUUCUGAGUUAAUGGAAAACUUAUUCAAGAAAUCUUGACUUUCAAUAAUGAAAUUAAAAGUUUAUGAAAG